GUUAUAUGGUCAAGUGAAGAAGCGCAUACGGUGGAUGCCUUGGCAGUCAGAGGCGAUGAAAGACGUGGUAGCCUGCGAAAAGCUUCGGGGAGUCGGCAAACAGACUUUGAUCCGGAGAUCUCUGAAUGGGGGAACCCACCUAGGAUAACCUAGGUAUCUUGUACUGAAUCCAUAGGUGCAAGAGGCGAACCAGGGGAACUGAAACAUCUAAGUACCCUGAGGAAAAGAAAUCAACCGAGAUUCCCUUAGUAGUGGCGAGCGAACGGGGAUUAGCCCUUAAGCUUCAUUGAUUUUAGCGGAACGCUCUGGAAAGUGCGGCCAUAGUGGGUGAUAGCCCCGUACGCGAAAGGAUCUUUGAAGUGAAAUCGAGUAGGACGGAGCACGAGAAACUUUGUCUGAACAUGGGGGGACCAUCCUCCAAGGCUAAAUACUACUGACUGACCGAUAGUGAACCAGUACCGUGAGGGAAAGGCGAAAAGAACCCCGGAGAGGGGAGUGAAAUAGAACCUGAAACCGUAUGCGUACAAGCAGUGGGAGCCUACUUGUUAGGUGACUGCGUACCUUUUGUAUAAUGGGUCAGCGACUUAUAUUCAGUGGCAAGCUUAACCGUAUAGGGUAGGCGUAGCGAAAGCGAGUCUUAAUAGGGCGUUUAGUCGCUGGGUAUAGACCCGAAACCGGGCGAUCUAUCCAUGAGCAGGUUGAAGGUUAGGUAACACUGACUGGAGGACCGAACCCACUCCCGUUGAAAAGGUAGGGGAUGACUUGUGGAUCGGAGUGAAAGGCUAAUCAAGCUCGGAGAUAGCUGGUUCUCCUCGAAAGCUAUUUAGGUAGCGCCUCAUGUAUCACUCUGGGGGGUAGAGCACUGUUUCGGCUAGGGGGUCAUCCCGACUUACCAAACCGAUGCAAACUCCGAAUACCCAGAAGUGCCGAGCAUGGGAGACACACGGCGGGUGCUAACGUCCGUCGUGAAAAGGGAAACAACCCAGACCGCCAGCUAAGGUCCCAAAGUUGUGGUUAAGUGGUAAACGAUGUGGGAAGGCUUAGACAGCUAGGAGGUUGGCUUAGAAGCAGCCAUCCUUUAAAGAAAGCGUAAUAGCUCACUAGUCGAGUCGGCCUGCGCGGAAGAUGUAACGGGGCUCAAACCACACACCGAAGCUGCGGGUGUCACGUAAGUGACGCGGUAGAGGAGCGUUCUGUAAGCCUGUGAAGGUGAGUUGAGAAGCUUGCUGGAGGUAUCAGAAGUGCGAAUGCUGACAUGAGUAACGACAAUGGGUGUGAAAAACACCCACGCCGAAAGACCAAGGGUUCCUGCGCAACGUUAAUCGACGCAGGGUUAGUCGGUUCCUAAGGCGAGGCUGAAAAGCGUAGUCGAUGGGAAACAGGUUAAUAUUCCUGUACUUCUGGUUACUGCGAUGGAGGGACGGAGAAGGCUAGGCCAGCUUGGCGUUGGUUGUCCAAGUUUAAGGUGGUAGGCUGAAAUCUUAGGUAAAUCCGGGGUUUCAAGGCCGAGAGCUGAUGACGAGUCGUCUUUUAGAUGACGAAGUGGUUGAUGCCAUGCUUCCAAGAAAAGCUUCUAAGCUUCAGGUAACCAGGAACCGUACCCCAAACCGACACAGGUGGUCGGGUAGAGAAUACCAAGGCGCUUGAGAGAACUCGGGUGAAGGAACUAGGCAAAAUGGCACCGUAACUUCGGGAGAAGGUGCGCCGGCUAGGGUGAAGGAUUUACUCCGUAAGCUCUGGCUGGUCGAAGAUACCAGGCCGCUGCGACUGUUUAUUAAAAACACAGCACUCUGCAAACACGAAAGUGGACGUAUAGGGUGUGACGCCUGCCCGGUGCCGGAAGGUUAAUUGAUGGGGUUAGCGCAAGCGAAGCUCUUGAUCGAAGCCCCGGUAAACGGCGGCCGUAACUAUAACGGUCCUAAGG
rnacentral:rRNA from 1 species